CCUACGGGAGGCAGCAGUGAGGAAUAUUGGUCAAUGGACGAAAGUCUGAACCAGCCAUGCCGCGUGCAGGAUGACUGCUCUAUGGGUUGUAAACUGCUUUUAUACAGGAGUAAAACGAGAUACGUGUACCUUUUUGCAAGUACUUUACGAAUAAGGAUCGGCUAACUCCGUGCCAGCAGCCGCGGUAAUACGGAGGAUCCGAGCGUUAUCCGGAUUUAUUGGGUUUAAAGGGUGCGUAGGCGGGUUGUUAAGUUAGUGGUGAAAGUUCGGGGCUCAACUCUGAAAUUGCAACUGAUACUGUGAGACUAGAGUACAGUUGAGGUAGGCGGAAUGCGUGGUGUAGCGGUGAAAUGCUUAGAGAUCACGAAGAACACCGAUUGCGAAGGCAGCUUACUAAACUAUAACUGACGUUGAGGCACGAAAGCGUGGGUAGCAAACAGGAUUAGAUACCCGAGUAGUC
rnacentral:rRNA from 1 species